GGAGAGGUGCCGGAGCGGUCGAACGGGCCGGUCUCGAAAACCGGAGUAGGGGCAACUCUACCGUGGGUUCGAAUCCCACCCUCUCCG
rnacentral:tRNA from 1 species